UUUGAGAGGGCUGGACAAAGGCUGGGCCAGCAGCAGUGCCUGUCACCAGCUGAGCUGUGACACCUCCCUGAGCUGCUCCUUAGAUCUGAACUGCUGCAUGAACCUCCCUGAGCGCUCUGGUCGGUCAGCAGCUACCAGCAGCAAAAGUGCAAAUCAAAGACGAAUGGCCCGUUCAAACGUUUGCCUUCGCGUAGGAGAGCAGGACACGUCCCUGAUUUCUGUGGUGAAAUACAUCUCAGCUUUGAGAGCAGGGACUUCAAACCCUCAGCUCAACAAAGCUCAUUCCCUGACCACCUCCUGCACCCUGUCACUGGUGAAAUUUGCUUUUUUUGAGGAGAUCCUGUACAACUCUGAAUCAACAUUACUGAGGCUCUUUCCCCAGAGUUGCCAGAAUGUAGGAAGACAAUGAAGAGGUUUACCAUCUGAGCAUUUUACCAAAAUGCCUAAAGGGGACAGAAGUGUCCUGUUUAUUUACUUUGUAUUUGAAAUAUUUCUCCAUUUUUCUGUGUUUGUGCCCUCAAGAACUAAUCACCAUCUCUGCAGGAGACCCCCAAAAGUCCACCCUUCCAUCCUCACACCCCUACACUGGGCAAGGCUGGAGCUCUCACAGAAGUACCCAUGGGUGUAUUUUUGGUUUUCCUCUUAACUGCAAGGAAGACAAACCCUCCAGCACUGCUGUGAUAUGUGAUGGGGGGGUGGGAAAGGACAGCACAGGAGCGAGCCCUCUGUGCUCCCAGGAAGGCACGGGAGGGCCUGUCCUG